UCCAUGAAGACGGAACCCUGUUAGUGC
rnacentral:piRNA from 1 species